AUUGAACGCUGGCGGCAGGCCUAACACAUGCAAGUCGAACGGUAACAGGAAACCUCUUGCUGUUUCGCUGGCGAGUGGCGGGCGAGUGAUACAUGUCUGCGUAACCUCCUGAUGGGGGGGGCUAACUACUGGAAACGGUAGUUACUACCGCAUAACGUCGCAAGACCAAAGAGGGCGACCUUCCGCCCUCUUGCCAUCUGAUGUGCCCCGAUGGGAUUAGCUAGUAGGUGGGGUAACGGCUCACCAAGGCGACGAUCCGUAGCUGGUCUGAGAGGACGACCAGCCACACUGGAACUGAGACACGGUCCAGACUCCUACGGGAGGCAGCAGUGGGGAAUAUUGGACAAUGGGCGCAAGCCUGAUGCAGCAAUGCCGCGUGUGUGAAGAAGGCCUUCGGGUUGUAAAGCACUUUUGGCGGGGAAGAAAGCAGUGAAGUUAAUACAGUCAGUGAAUGACGUUACCGGAAGAAGAAGCACCGGCUAACUACGUG
rnacentral:rRNA from 1 species